AUGGAGGGAAGAAGAAGGAGAAAGAAGCCAUGCAGAUGUUAGCGUCCCUAUGCUGCGGGGUGGCUACUCAUUCGGCCUGACAAAGUCCACGCUGACAAGGCUGAACCUUCAUGAGUGCCUCCUGUGGGUGCUGGGCCAGUUUCUGAAUUAGAUGAGAACUGUGCUGUUAGAGAGUUCCUAGACUUGGUGGAGCAUACUAAAUCUUCUGAAGGCAGAAAGCACCAGGCAUGAGGGAUCAGCUGUGUGCUGCGUCGUCUACAGAAAGCCACAGGGAUUUUUUCAUAGUUGCAUCUUAAAAUGUAUGUGGCUCUUGGGAUCUGAAGAAAAGAGAAGACUGGAGAAGACAUGAAGACUUCUGACAACACACCAGUGUCAACGCCAUUCAUAGUCUGUUGACUUGAUUGCAGAGCCCUGAUACUAUCACAAGGGAAGCUGAGAGGAGUACGGGACAUGGAAUGUUUGGUGAGCUGCCUCUUCAGUAGCUGGAUAAAGGGAAUUUCAGAGUUUAACCCUGAGUGAGGAGUGAAAAAGGCACGUGCACAAGCUGCUUAUAAACUGAGAGCAAGCUGAGAAGAGGAAGGGGUGGACCCAGACAGCAUCUCGGCCGCCCUCCCGGUUAUCUGCAGCGUGGUGUUAGGAUUCAGGCAGGGACCCUGUGGUGUACCCAAACUGGGUCAAUUCUACUUUAGGUGGUUCAGUCCUUAAAAGUCAGUCAAAGGAAUGCACCAACUAGGAUAUAAGAGUGAACAUAUUCAACAUUAGAUAAAUAAAAUCCAGCACACAAG
rnacentral:lncRNA from 1 species